CAACGAAGUUGGGUAGCCACGAAGGAGCGGAAGUAGCGACGGUGCAAUCCCUGCACCUCCCGCGGAGUGACGGGAUUGGGCGGCGACAAGGAGUCGGAGGCGAGUCGGGCUAGGGGUCGGCGUCAGAUGCAGGUGAAGUCGAACGACAGUAAGGAGUUGAAGGAUGGGCUCGUGCGAUCCUUCUCCUCCCGCGAACUGAAGCCGAACAACAACAACGAAGAGGGAGAUGAGCAACGGAAGAAUGCCCAUGUCCUCCUAUUCUCUUUGUCCGUCAUUUUUAAACGAUGAGCGACAGUUAUUUAGCGGGGAGUUGCUUCGCUUCGUUGUGUGGGGCCGGCUCGGAGGAAUUACCUUCUGCUCAUUUAGAUUGGACAUGGCGUCAGGCAAGUUCUUACCCAUAAAAAAAACUUUGCUUCGCUGACCCAACAAUUUCUUAUUUUUACAAAGCUCUAAAAGCUUGAAUACUGAACUCUUGAUUUCUAUAUCCAUAGCAUCAGGAAAGUUAAUAUAUUUCUUCAGUGUACGGUGGCUUUGAAUAGUUUUCGUUGAUUCAUACUAUAGAUUGCUAUAGUACAUGUAAUGCUCUCAAACAUUAACUAAAGCAGAAUUUUGAUGAA